GGGUGGCUAGCUCAAUGGAUAGAGCAACCGGCUUUUAACCGGUAGGCUGUGGGUUCGAGUCCCACGCCACCCACCA
rnacentral:tRNA from 1 species